rnacentral:rRNA from 1 species
CUAAUACAUGAGCACAUUCUCAACUGUUUUAGAAGAGAAGCAUUUAUUAGAUAAAAAACCAAUAUAUGUUUUUAAAACAUAAAAGUCGGUGAUUUACAAUAACUAAGCAAAUCGCACAGUGCAAACUGGCGAUAAAUCAUUCAAGUUUCUGACCUAUCAGCUUUCGACGGUAAGGUAUUGGCUUACCGUGGCAGUGACGGUUAACGGGGAAUUAGGGUUCAAUUCCGGAGAGGGAGCCUGAGAAACGGCUACCACAUCUAAGGAAGGCAGCAGGCGCGCAAAUUACCCAAUUCUAAUAGCAUAAGAGAGGUAGUGACAAGAAAUAACAGUACAAGGCAGUUUAAAUGCUUUGUAAUUGGAAUGAUAGAAAUUUAAAUACUUUUUAAAGUAUCAAUUGGAGGGCAAGUCUGGUGCCAGCAGCCGCGGUAAUUCCAGCUCCAAUAGCGUAUAUUAAAAUUGUUGCAGUUAAAAAGCUCGUAGUUGAAUUUUUGCUAAAAAUAACCGGUCUGCUUUUAUUAAUAAAGGUGGUAUCUUGGUGUGGUUUUAGCAAUAAUGUCCUUUGAAAUGUUUUUUACUUUAUUGUAAAAAACAAUUUUCAGGAUUUUUACUUUGAGAAAAUUAGAGUGUUUCAAGCAGGCUAACGUUUUGAAUACUGCAGCAUGGAAUAAUAAAAUAGGAUUUUAGUUCUACGUUAUUGGUUUUAAGAGCUAAAUUAAUGAUUGAUAGGAGCAGUUGGGGGCAUUUGUAUUUAACUGUCAGAGGUGAAAUUCUUAGAUUUGUUAAAGACACACUACUGCGAAAGCAUU